AGCAGCCGCCACGGGAAUACGGAGGGGGCUAGCGUUGUUCGGAAUUACUGGGCGUAAAGCGUGCGCAGGCGGUGUUGUAAGACUGAUGUGAAAUCCCCGGGCUCAACCUGGGAACUGCAUUGGUGACUGCAACGCUGGAGUGCGGCAGAGGGGGAUGGAAUUCCGCGUGUAGCAGUGAAAUGCGUAGAUAUGCGGAGGAACACCGAUGGCGAAGGCAAUCCCCUGGGCCUGCACUGACGCUCAUGCACGAAAGCGUGGGGAGCAAACAGGAUUAGAUACCCCAGUAGUCCCUGUCUCUUAUAC
rnacentral:rRNA from 1 species